AAGCAAGUGGCGGAAUUGGUAGACGCGCCUCCACUGGUGGGAGGCAGAUGUAGAGGGUUCGAGUCCCUUAACCGACAGGAUAGGCUACACGCCGCAGGUUCGAAUCCUGCCUUGCUUU
rnacentral:tRNA from 1 species